rnacentral:misc_RNA from 1 species
UCGCUGGCAAAGAGUGUCUUUUGUUUCAGUGCAGUUGAUUGUCACGCCAGACGAGAGUCCCUGCAACAUCGGACGCACUCCCUCACGUGUUGCCCGUGCUGAACACCGCGUGCCAUAGAAGAGCCCCCUCGCUCCCUCUCCAAAAAAAAACACACGGAAAGGAAGACUCGCGCCCUUCGCUGGAGAUACAUUUGAGGCGUUUGGCUGAAUUCAUUGUGACCUCCUCGUUUUAGCUUUCUGUGAGCCACGCGUUGUGCUUGUUGUGGGGUGCUCUCGUCCUGCUGUUGUGCAAAGACAGCGACACAGCGUCGCCUCGUCACUACCCCUUGUCGCUCGAGAACGGCAGCGGCUUAUUUUCCCUUCCCUCAGCCACACCGCUACCGAUCUCCGAUGACGGAGAUUACGUACAGCUACUCGCGGCCGGCCCGCGAGUUUGGCCGCAUGCCGGAGUUUCAGGCGAACGACAGCGAAAUUAUCGUCGACAUUGCACCAAAUGAGGUGAUCAAGGACACUUUCACAUCGCAGAACCCCAAGGAGAGCCAGGUGCAGAAUGUGCCGCAGCUGUCCGAGGCGAGCACGAAUACCGAGUCCGUGCGCAUCAAAAAUCACGCACAAUAUCACGGUGAGGGUGGCUGGCCGCACGCCGUCGACCCGACCGAGUUCGAGGAGAAGAUGAAGUAUUGCAAGAAAGUGGAGCGGGAGGAGGUCUACCUGCAGACGUGCGCGCGACUUGCUGAGCAGUGCGUCGAGUGCUGCGUGAAACAGAACACGGCGAUGGACAUAUACGGCCACUACUUCCCCGAAGCUCCGCCGGAUGAGGAGGAGACGAUGGGGCCUGCAUCGCUGAAGGUCUGGGCGGUGCUGAAGGAUCCAUCCGAGGAGAAACGCACGGCGGCGGCUCUGUCGUGGCAGAACGAGGGCCGCCGGAUUGCCGUGGCCUAUUCACGACUCAAGUUCCAGAGCCAGACGCCGACGAUGAGCACGAACUCGCACAUUUGGGACAUAAUGAACCACAACGAGCCUGUCGAGACGCUCGUCACGCCGUCGCCACUGUGCAGCAUCGAGUACUACUCAAAGGAUCCUCACCUGAUCGCGGGUGGGAGCUGGAACGGUGUCGUGCAGUUCUGGGACACCCGCCAGCCGAACCGGCCGGCCGCCCGCUCCCUCAUCGAGGAGAGCCACAAGGAUCCGGUAUGGGCCCUGAAGUGGCUGCAAAGCAAGUCUGGCGAACUACUAUCCGUCUCCACGGACGGAAACGUCUUUGUGUGGGACUGCCGUCUGCCGGAGAAGCCGAUGACAAUUCAUUCCAUUGCCGAGGACAACUUAGUGCUGCAGCCGCGCAGCAACGACGGCGGCGCCCGGGGCGUCCUCGGCGGCCUGUGCCUCGACUACGACCCGCAGGUGGGUGGGCCGGCCAAGUACAUGAUCGGCACCGAGCAGGGUACGAUCUUGUCGUGCAAUCGCAAGGGCAAGACCCAGCACGAGAAGCUACUGCCGAACACCUUCAACGGCCACCACGGGCCGGUCUACAGCGUGCAGCGCAACCCCGUCUUCUCCAAGUACUUCCUCACCGUCGGCGAUUGGACGGCGCGCUUGUGGUUCGAGGACUUCAAGUUCACGCCCAUGUUUAGCACUUUCUACCACAAGGCAUACUUGACCUGUGGUGUGUGGCACACUGUGCGACCCGGCGUCUUUUUCACGACUCGCAUGGACGGGUACGUGGAUGUGUGGGAUUUGAUGCUGCGCCAGACCACGCCCUCCGUGUCCUUCCAGGUGUCUGACUAUGCCUUGCACACCAUCAAGCCCUCGCAGAGCGGCAACUAUGUCGCCACUGGCGGCAUCGACGGCAAUGUGUCGCUGAUAGAGCUGUCUCCGUCGCUGUGCACGCAGGCUCCAGAUGAGAAGAAUGUCAUCGGCACUCUUUUGGAGAACGAAAGCCUGCGGGACAAGAAUCUUGAUCGAGCCAUGAAGGAGAAGCGUGCGGUGGAGCGUCAGCGUCAGCGUCGCACCACACACCUCUCCGGGAUCACCAGAACGCCGGCGACCGAGGAAGCCGCGCUGGAUGACGUUGCCGCGAAGUACAUUGAGAAGGUGAACGCCGAGAAGGCCGAAGACAUCCACACCCGCGAAGAAACUGAUGCGGUGCGACUCAAGGCCCUGGAGGACCUGGAGGACGGCAUAGAUCUCUACGACUAGUCUGCUGGUAUUGCCCCACCAGCUUGUCUCGUGGUUGUUGUUGCCCGCCCAGGCUAUAAUAAGCAGAUGCCAUAGCGGGCUGAGCCACUGGUGCAGGGGUGCUGGCUGGUGGUGAGAGAAACACCGGAGACUGCCCUGCUGAGAGUGAAAUGACGGCUCUCUUUCUGUUGCUUUUCCCAUUUGAAGGCAGCUCCCGCUCCUUCGCUGCUGCGCAGGAGCUGCAACGCGGUUUUUGUGUGCUGGUUCGUGAUUAAAACCGCGGCGGCGCUGCUUGUGGAGGUCUUGCUUUGCUGGUUAGGAGGCGCCGCUUUGCCCGAUUGUCUUGGCUGGGCCACUCGCCACCCAGUGCCGCGUCCUUUUUUUUUUCAUCCCCGUCCUCACUCGCUGUGUGUAGGCGUGCGCAGACUCGGUGCGAGUCUCCGUCUCUAUCUCUCCCCCUCUACAAGCGGACAUGACGGUGCGCGUUGCUUGUUCAUGUACUAUACACAAUGACGGGGGAAUGCUAAGUGGAGUGGAUGACGGUGGCAAAGAGGGCGCUCGGCAAAGGAGGUGGUGGUGGUGGUGGGGGGGAUGUACAGCGUCUCGGAAUGCAUCGGCCGAAGAGGCUACGUCGACGUGUCGCGUCCCCUCCGCCUUCUUUCUCGUUCGCCUCCCAUCGGCGUUGCCUUUGCUCGCCGUCUCUCUCCUGUGGUUCUUUGAGAUGUACAUAGGUGGCAGUGGCACACAGCGAUAUAUGGUCACACGUAAACUCGCUCAUUCUCUCGGCGGCACGCGCACACACACACACACACACAGACACGCACUAAUAGUGAGUUGAACGCUGGCGUGCCAAUUUGUGCGUGUGUCGUUGUGUGUGGCCCAUCGGUGUGCCUCCGCUCCCCCCGGCCACCCCCUCCUCUUCAUCUCUACAUUUGUCGCAAGCCCUCCCUCAACGAUUUUGUUGUUUUGAUGUGGAUACACAAUAGACACGCAAAUUUAAAAAGAAACUCCCUGAAGUGGGCAACUACGUGUGUCGUGUCGUUUGGUAAAAGGCGAAGCAGCUGCUGCAUGGCGCGGUCGCAGCGGAGCCCACCGUGCCUGUAUCCGUAGGCCUGCGCGGUUGAGGCAGUGGAGCCUGCGCAGUCUGGUGAAAGGCCGACGCGCGUGAGACGGCAAACGUGUACGCUCAUGCUGAGUGAAGGCGUCGUGCACGCUCCAAGGUUUCGGGCAGCAGAAUGGAGUACGACUAUCGUCUCCGGCUGACCGUUGUCGAGUCCCUCGUUUCCUUGCCUUGCAAACCGCGUUUUCGAAAAGCCGUUGCUACUUUAUCAGCGCUGUUUUCCGGUAGGGUUACCACCCUGCUCUCCGCACUGUAGUGCUGGCUUGCCACUGUCCCUCCAUCAUCUCGUUCGGGCAUGCGUCCCAACACUCUCUCCUGACGAUGAACCACGUCAAAACCGACCUGCCACCCACCGUACUCGCACACAAUUCUCAUGUGGUGGCCAG